AAACUAACUUCAUAUUCCUCAUCGAUUGGGUUAGGCUGGACGGUAUGGGGACCGUCCAGCAACGUCGACCUUGAGACGCCGCCCCCUCUCCAUUUCGACCCCCCCCGUCGCCGUUCCUCCAUCGUCGCCAUCGUCGGGUUCUCGACGCCAAGGACGGUCCUCCCCCCCUCUCUCACUCACCAAUAAACCCCCAAAUCCAAAAUCAAACCCUUCUUCCGGAGCCACAAUCGGUGAAGCUGAGCACGUAAUUGAAACAUUUCUCCGGUGAAGAAAGGUGCGAUGGAAGUCGGUGGUGGUGUAGGUACGACCGGUGGCGGUGGUGGACCUGAACGACGGCGAUGUGAUAGGGUUUGUGUCUAACUUGACGGAGGUGGUGGUGUUUCUUUCAAAUCAACCGGUGAAAGUUUGCACCUUUUACUUCUGGGUAGAUUGUUUAAACCCUUGAAGUUCUUCACCCACAUACAUAUAUCUGUCAUAUUAAGUUUGUGAUUCACUUGACCUGAUGAUAAUGAAAUUGGGUUUUCAUUUCAUCCUCUUUUACCCUUUAAUUUUGAUGUUGCAGACGGAUGUUUGAGUAGGGUUAUGGGGUUUUUUUUUGUGUCUGUAAUUAUUAAAGGAAUUGAGAUAAAGCAUCAAGAUUCUCAAUUUGGUAGUUUAUUCUAUGUGAUUGUGAUUGUGUUGUUUGGUUAAGUUGGUGGUAUAGGAUCAUCCUCCCGUUUCCAGUGUUUUACCAUGGUGGAUCAUCCUCUAAGGUACUACGUACGGAUUGUGUUAAUACAAGAGAUGUUGAGGCGUGUUAGUCCACUGUCGAAGCUGAUUUCUGCGGCUAAACCUUCGCUACUUAAUCAUGUGAGAUGGCUUUACGAGUUGAGGGGCUAGGAGUCGGGGGAGAAACAUCAAUAGAAGAAUUCAUAAUCGCCCCUGCAAAUGAUCUCGAACAGGAUCAAGACAAAGCUGCGAAAAUCAAGUUGUACAGUCACGAAGCAGGGGUCUAAUGAUUGCUCGACUCCUUACGGAUCCGAUGGUGCCGGGAAUUCAUAAUCGCCCCUGCAAACUACAAGUGUCGAGAAAGACAUGAUUCAGCCUGCUUCUCAUGGCAGUAUUCGAUUACAAGUGUCGUGAAAGAGAGUGUCGGUAGAGAAGGUGAUGAUUACGGAUCCGAUGGUGCCGGGAAUGAUUCUUAGGAUUUUUUUUUUUUUAAGUUUAUGUUUUUUUUUAACUUAUGUAAUGUUUUUUAAUAUUUUAAUGAAUUUAUUUUUCUAUCUUAUUUAA